AGGGGCUUAGGUUAGCAAUCAGACCGGGGGCCUUCAAAGCCCUAGGCGAGGGUUAAAAUCCCCCAGCCCCUG
rnacentral:tRNA from 1 species